CGGGUUUGACCUUUACAGGGAACCCCGUUCGUCUGAGGUCGGACGGCCCAUCGCCGACUGUUGCUGAGGGUACCAGGCUCCUGGGCUCGUGGAUGGGUAGUAGGUUACCUUCGUACCAGCCCUGUGGGAUACCUUUCGCUGACCUGAUGUGGGCUUUGGAGCACGGGGUAGAGGAGUCGCCUUCGAGACAGGCUCGGCUGUUCUACCUCCAUUUUAUUACUUCCACUUUUCUAUCGGGUCCGACUGACACCUUUGACCCGAGGUGGAUAGGCAUGGUGGAGGACGUGUCUACACUGGGUGACUAUCGCUGGGGCAAUUUGGGCUAUGCGACGCUUGUCGGCCAGAUGAGUUUGUCGGUGCGCGUCUCGGACCCGAGUAUACGUCACUUUGUGAUUACAUUAGCGGGAGUGCCGCGUUUGAUCGAGCUGUGGGCCUUUGAGCACUUACCCUGGCUGGCUCCCCGAAAGGGGCAGAGGCCUUUGGAGUUCCAUGCCGGUCGCCGUUGGGGUUGGAAGAAGAAGCUGACAGUGCUUCCGCCGCCCGAUACCGUGUGGGAUCUUAUCCGGGACGGGAACCCUGAGCAUGUACAGAAUCUUAUCCUCUAUCUCGUAUUUCGUCAUUCUUUUCAUGUGCGAGAUCUGACUGCGUUUUGUACGAAAACAGGUGGUUUGGACCCCAUGGCUCUCUUUUAGGGGUACCCAUGCUUCGGUCAGGGAGAGUUAUGCCCUGAGCCAGAUGCGGGUCUUGUUCAUUGGCCGCCGGGACCCUGUCUGGUACCUGGGAGAGCGGGUACGUAUGCAGACGGUCGGGGUUUUUUCGUUGCCCAGGCCUCCGCCUGCGACCAUGCUGUCUACUCGCUCGAUAGGCGAGUCGUGGAGGGUCCACUCGAGGACUGGUGUGCCGGCGACAGAGUUGGUGAUAAAGGGAGCUAGCUAUUACCAGUUUAUCCAGGAUUCUCUUCGUCUCCCGGAGCCUGGCGCUGAGGGUCCUGACCCUUUGUUGGGGGGAUGGGUGCUUCCCGAUGCUCGGAUCUCGUAUACCGGAGAGAGUGGAUCUGAGAUUGUGGAGACUUUCCCGGAAGACCGCAUGCUCCGCUCCCUGAGGGAGUAGAGGCGGUUCCGGCCCGUACGACCAAUGCGAUGGUGGGGGUGAUCAACCGGUUGAAGUCCGCGUUGGUUCGAGCUCGGUCUGCACUUUCUUGCAGGAGCCCCCACUCUACUCGGACGGCUACUGGGCGUGCUGGGGCCGAUGACGCGGGUCCCUCGGGCGGGGGACACGGUUGUCGCGAGAGAGAGAGAGCACAGCACUCGCCCCUACGGCAUCGCCGUUCUGACGCGGGGGUAAGUUCUUCCGGGGAGAGGUCCGAGCCGGAGCGUAGGCGGCGUUUCGUGUCGGUGGCCCGAGAGCCUAGCCCCGAGUUGCAGUCGCAACCCCAUUUUUGGGGUGACUCUGGCUGGGGUCCCUCAUACCACGGGGAGUGGAGUGGAUGGACCUACGAGGCUUGGAGACAUGGAGCCGAUGACGAGUCUUAGGCUUACCUCCUGUUUUAUACAUAUUCAUUCUUGUGUUCCGCAUGUAUAUAUAUA